rnacentral:rRNA from 1 species
AUUGAACGCUGGCGGCAGGCUUAACACAUGCAAGUCGAACGGUAACAGGAGAAAGCUUGCUUUCUUGCUGACGAGUGGCGGACGGGUGAGUAAUGCUUGGGAAUCUGGCUUAUGGAGGGGGAUAACGACGGGAAACUGUCGCUAAUACCGCGUAGUGUCGAGAGAUGAAAGUGCGGGACCUUCGGGCCGCAUACCAUAGGAUGAGCCCAAGUGGGAUUAGGUAGUUGGUGGGGUAAAGGCCUACCAAGCCGACGAUCUCUAGCUGGUCUGAGAGGAUGACCAGCCACACCGGGACUGAGACACGGCCCGGACUCCUACGGGAGGCAGCAGUGGGGAAUAUUGCGCAAUGGGGGCAACCCUGACGCAGCCAUGCCGCGUGAAUGAAGAAGGCCUUCGGGUUGUAAAGUUCUUUCGGUAUUGAGGAAGGUUGUUGUGUUAAUAGCACGACAAAUUGACGUUAAAUACAGAAGAAGCACCGGCUAACUCCGUGCCAGCAGCCGCGGUAAUACGGAGGGUGCGGGCGUUAAUCGGAAUAACUGGGCGUAAAGGGCACGCAGGCGGACUUUUAAGUGAGGUGUGAAAUCCCCGGGCUUAACCUGGGAAUCGCAUUUCAGACUGGGAGUCUAGAGUACUUUAGGGAGGGGUAGAAUUCCACGUGUAGCGGUGAAAUGCGUAGAGAUGUGGAGGAAUACCGAAGGCGAAGGCAGCCCCUUGGGAAUGUACUGACGCUCAUGUGCGAAAGCGUGGGGAGCAAACAGG